CAGUAGCCGCGGGAAUACAGAGGGUGCAAGCGUUAAUCGGAAUUACUGGGCGUAAAGCGCACGCAGGCGGUCUGACAAGUCAGAUGUGAAAUCCCCGGGCUUAACCUGGGAACUGCAUUUGAAACUGUCAGGCUGGAGUCUUGUAGAGGGGGGUGGAAUUCCAGGUGUAGCGGUGAAAUGCGUAGAGAUCUGGAGGAAUACCGGUGGCGAAGGCGGCCCCCUGGACAAAGACUGACGCUCAGGUGCGAAAGCGUGGGGAGCAAACAGGAUUAGAUACCCCUGUAGUCCCUGUCUCUUAUAC
rnacentral:rRNA from 1 species